UACGUAGGUGACCAGCGUUGUCCGGAUUUACUGGGCGUAAAGAGCGCGCAGGCGGUCGUUCAAGUCGCGUGUGAAAGCCCCCGGCUCAACUGGGGAGGGUCAUUCGAUACUGAUCGACUUGAAGGCAGGAGAGAGAAGUGGAAUUCCCGGUGUAGUGGUGAAAUGCGUAGAUAUCGGGAGGAACACCGGUGGCGAAGGCGGUUCUCUGGGCAUUACCUGACGCUGAGGAGCGAAAGUGUGGGGAGCGAACAGG
rnacentral:rRNA from 1 species